rnacentral:rRNA from 1 species
GAACCUGAAACCGUGUACGUACAAGCAGUGGGAGCCCCACCACUAAGCCAGUGGUGAACUCCACAUACGCAUCCUUUGCUGAGGAUACGGUUAACGGAGCGAAAGCGACGUUCAACCUCAAAAGAAGCAGAGGGGGCUUAGUGGUGGGGUGACUGCGUACCUUUUGUAUAAUGGGUCAGCGACUUAUAUUCUGUAGCAAGGUUAACCGUAUAGGGGAGCCGCAGGGAAACCGAGUCUUAACCGGGCGUUAAGUUGCAGGGUAUAGACCCGAAACCCGGUGAUCUAGCCAUGGGCAGGUUGAAGGUUGGGUAACACUAACUGGAGGACCGAACCGACUAAUGUUGAAAAAUUAGCGGAUGACCUGUGGCUGGGGGUGAAAGGCCAAUCAAACCGGGAGAUAGCUGGUUCUCCCCGAAAGCUAUUUAGGUAGCGCCUCGUGAACUCAUCUCCGGGGGUAGAGCACUGUUUCGGCUAGGGGGCCAUCCCGGCUUACCAACCCGAUGCAAACUGCGAAUACCGGAGAAUGUUAUCACGGGAGACACACGGCGGGUGCUAACGUCCGUCGUGAAGAGGGAAACAACCCAGACCGCCAGCUAAGGUCCCAAAGUCAUGGUUAAGUGGGAAACGAUGUGGGAAGGCCCAGACAGCCAGGAUGUUGGCUUAGAAGCAGCCAUCAUUUAAAGAAAGCGUAAUAGCUCACUGGUCGAGUCGGCCUGCGCGGAAGAUGUAACGGGGCUAAACCAUGCACCGAAGCUGCGGCAGCGAACGUAUCACCCAAGACAACUUUACGGAGUUAACGAUUGACGGAGCGAAGCGACGUCAAAGCGUUCAUUAAAGUCGAGUUGGCUUAGGGAUACGUUCGUUGGGUAGGGGAGCGUUCUGUAAGCCUGUGAAGGUGGCCUGUGAGGGUUGCUGGAGGUAUCAGAAGUGCGAAUGCUGACAUAAGUAACGAUAAAGCGGGUGAAAAGCCCGCUCGCCGGAAGACCAAGGGUUCCUGUCCAACGUUAAUCGGGGCAGGGUGAGUCGACCCCUAAGGCGAGGCCGAAAGGCGUAGUCGAUGGGAAACGGGUUAAUAUUCCCGUACUUGGUGUUACUGCGAAGGGGGGACGGAGAAGGCUAUGUUGGCCGGGCGACGGUUGUCCCGGUUUAAGCGUGUAGGCUGGUUUUCCAGGCAAAUCCGGAAAAUCAAGGCUGAGGCGUGAUGACGAGGCACUACGGUGCUGAAGCAACAAAUGCCCUGCUUCCAGGAAAAGCCUCUAAGCAUCAGGUAACAUCAAAUCGUACCCCAAACCGACACAGGUGGUCAGGUAGAGAAUACCAAGGCGCUUGAGAGAACUCGGGUGAAGGAACUAGGCAAAAUGGUGCCGUAACUUCGGGAGAAGGCACGCUGACAUGUAGGUGAAGUGAUUUACUCAUGGAGCUGAAGUCAGUCGAAGAUACCAGCUGGCUGCAACUGUUUAUUAAAAACACAGCACUGUGCAAACACGAAAGUGGACGUAUACGGUGUGACGCCUGCCCGGUGCCGGAAGGUUAAUUGAUGGGGUCAGCGCAAGCGAAGCUCCUGAUCGAAGCCCCGGUAAACGGCGGCCGUAACUAUAACGGUCCUAAGGUAGCGAAAUUCCUUGUCGGGUAAGUUCCGACCUGCACGAAUGGCGUAAUGAUGGCCAGGCUGUCUCCACCCGAGACUCAGUGAAAUUGAACUCGCUGUGAAGAUGCAGUGUACCCGCGGCAAGACGGAAAGACCCCGUGAACCUUUACUAUAGCUUGACACUGAACAUUGAGCCUUGAUGUGUAGGAUAGGUGGGAGGCUUUGAAGUGUGGACGCCAGUCUGCAUGGAGCCGACCUUGAAAUACCACCCUUUAAUGUUUGAUGUUCUAACGUGGACCCGU